GGAGGCUGGCGGCGGACGAGUUCCUCGCCAACCGGGUCAGGUCCGGAAGGAAGCAGCCCCAACGAGUUUUGCUCGGGUUGUCCGUUCAGUCUCCCAC
rnacentral:SRP_RNA from 1 species